rnacentral:rRNA from 1 species
UACAGAGGUGGCAAGCGUUGUUCGGAAUUACUGGGCGUAAAGGGCGCGUAGGCGGCCUUCUAAGUCGAACGUGAAAUCCCCGGGCUCAACCCGGGAACUGCGUCCGAUACUGGAAGGCUUGAAUCCGGGAGAGGGAUGCGGAAUUCCAGGUGUAGCGGUGAAAUGCGUAGAUAUCUGGAGGAACACCGGUGGCGAAGGCGCAUCCUGGACCGGCAUUGACGCUGAGGCGCGAAAGCCAGGGGAGCAAAGCGGG